rnacentral:rRNA from 1 species
UAAGGAAUAUUGGUCAGUGGGCGCAAGCCUGAACCAGCCAUGCCGCGUGAAGGAUGACGGCCCUAUGGGUUGUAAACUUCUUUUGUACGGGAAAAAACCUCUGGUCGUGUACCAGAGCUGAUGGUACCGUAAGAAUAAGCAUCGGCUAACUCCGUGCCAGCAGCCGCGGUAAUACGGAGGAUGCAAGCGUUAUCCGGAUUCAUUGGGUUUAAAGGGUGCGCAGGCGGAUUAUUAAGUCAGUGGUGAAAGCCUACAGCUUAACUGUAGAACUGCCAUUGAUACUGAUAUUCUUGAGUGUUGUUGAGGUAGGCGGAAUGUGUCAUGUAGCGGUGAAAUGCUUAGAUAUGACACAGAACACCGAUCGCGAAGGCAGCUUACCAAGCAACAACUGACGCUCAU